rnacentral:rRNA from 1 species
AGCAGUAGCCGCGGUAAUACGAAGGGGGCUAGCGUUGCUCGGAAUGACUGGGCGUAAAGGGCGCGUAGGCGGUUUUGACAGUCAGAUGUGAAAUUCCUGGGCUUAACCUGGGGGCUGCAUUUGAGACGUCAAGACUAGAGUGUGAGAGAGGGUUGUGGAAUUCCCAGUGUAGAGGUGAAAUUCGUAGAUAUUGGGAAGAACACCGGUGGCGAAGGCGGCAACCUGGCUCAUUACUGACGCUGAGGCGCGAAAGCGUGGGGAGCAAACAGGAUUAGAUACCCCCGUAGUCCCUGUCUCUUAUAC